GGCUGGUAAAAGUGAGUGCAGUGGUGUUUGAUGUUUACAAAUCACUGAUCCUAACCAGUUACAGGUUUCUUUGUCCCUUUUCCACUCCCACUGCUUUACUUGACUAGCCUUUA
ensembl:misc_RNA Y_RNA Y RNA